ACUCAGGAACUACGUAUGCACACCACAGGGCCCUUGUGGGUACUGAACUUGGAGCGUCAGGCAGCACAACUCACAUUUGUGCAGAGAGCUACAUGCCACAUGCUGUUCUCCAGCUUGCUGUGCAUAUUUGUGGCCUUCAGCUACUCUGGAUCCAGUGUGGCCCAGAAGGUUACUCAAGCCCAGUCAUCAGUAUCCAUGCCAGUGGGGAAAGCAGUCACCCUGAACUGCCAGUAUGAAACAAGUUCGUGGUCAUAUGACCUUUUUUGGUACAAGCAACUUCCCGGCAAAGAGAUGAUUUUCCUUAUUCGCCAGGGUUCUUCUGAACAGAAUGCAAGAAAUGGUCGCUAUUCUGUCAACUUCAAGAAAGAAGCUAGCUCCAUCGCCUUAACCAUUUCAGCCUUACAGCUAGAAGACUCAGCAACAUACUUCUGUGCUCUCUGGGAACUCACAGUGUUUGAAGUGAUAGUAAAAGCAAAACAAAAACCCUAGGGCUCGACAAGAGAACCCUCUACUCCGCAUCCUUUGCUACAGGAGCCGAUUUGAAGUGCACACCUGCAGAUCUCAGGCAAGAGAGGGUAGUGACUGUGGUCUGUGGAUUUAAUCUGUGGUCUGGAUCAGAUGAGUUAAUUCUAAGUAAGACCUCCUUCUAUCUCAUUUGGAAACAGGUGUUCAGAGCAACUUUCUUCUAAUACUUAAAUUUUUACUGAAAAUAGAUCAUACGGAAAACGUGCAAAGUUGUCUAAAGUUGGAAAGACUUCCACAUAAUAACUUAAAGUGGCAGUUUCACUUAACGAUGCUCACAGCAGAAAUAUGGGUCUAGUUAUCUUGAAUCAUAAUAAAAAUCAUUUCCUUAGCCCUUUCCUCUUAGGCUUUAUUUCAAUUAGGGUACAAUCAGGGAAGCAGAACCAUCAUGAAAGAUGUAGAAUAAGAUUAGUUAUAAGGAUUAGACCUCAUGCAAUUGCUGGAGCUGGUGGUUCUCAGAAGUUACUUAGUUGUUUGUGUUUUUAUGAAAUUAUAACAGGAAUAAAAUGUAAUAUUUUCAAAAUCUGACAUUGAGUUUUAUUUACUAGGCUGAAGAGGAUCAGGAUAUUCAUUCCUAUUGCCUUCACAAGUAGAAGAGUACUUCUUAGAUCAUGUGUCCUAGAAUUGUCCUGAUAUCACAUUUCUAUCCCAUUGAUCCAAAGUAUUCAGUCUCACUUGUUAAAUUCUGUGGCUGGGCAUGUUUUUUAUUUGUAAUAUACAGUCGGAUAAGCAUGCCAGAUUUCUAUGUGAUACAAUGCCAUAAUCUGCUCUUACUCCUAUGCAAAGCUAUUGUCUUUGCAUCUAGUAUUGAGCCUGAAUUUACUCUAGGUCAGCUAGAUUCACAUUUGGGAAGGAGAGUUGAAUGUGGACAAGAGCAUGCAAAAACUGAUUUGUAAAGACAUUUUGGAACCCAUGGUGACAGGUGGAACCCAUGAGGACAAACUAAAACUUUUCUGUCUCUUACCUCCUUCAAUCUCAUAGUGUUGGUGACGUUCAGAAGAAAUGGUGUUAUUUGCUAUCUUGUUCCCUGGGGACUUGGCCCAAGAAAAAGAGAAGCUGAAAGAGGACCUGGGGGCAGUGGGGGAGUUGUGAAUCAACAAUAAGAUGAGUUAGCAGAUCAGUAGCAACACGUGUGAGUUGCCACCGUUCCUGGAGCCUGGCACCUGUCUUGCACAAUUUUUUUCAACUUAAUAGAGAAUAAUAUAGGGAAGGAUUUUCUUAGAAAUAUAUUUCCAGGUAGUUACGAUGAGACAGUACGAAGUUACCACAAUACCCCUACCUUGUAAACUUGACAUCCGUAUGCACCUCUUUUCAUAACACUUAGCUUUCAAAUAAAGACAAUUUUAAAAAGCAUGUUUCCUGCCAAUAUGAUGCCACUAUUCUUCACUCAACCACAAAUACCCUAACCCUCUACCUCAAAGAGAAUACAAAGUUCAUUUAUUCAUCUUUGGGUGAUAGUCUUUCCUCUUCUAGCUGAGUCACACUCUCCCAUUGAUAUCCUGUAGUUUAGCUUCUGAAAUUUAACAAGGCAUGUGAUUAACUUAUUAACAUAUCUUUCACUAUUAUGUAUAGACAAAUGGGAGGAGAGUAAAAAAUGGUUACCAUGUAUUUUAAUAUUUUCAUAUCACAAUGGAAAGAAAAUGUUUAUAACAGUAUAGUCUUUUUUAUCCACAAAUGAUCUCAUGGUUGUAGCUGGUUUCCAUAACUAUCUCUUCCAUUACCCAUUUCAUAAUCUGUUUGUUUUCAGCAAGCACCUCCACUCACUGGUACACUUGACUUUCUAUAAAACAAGCUCCUUGGUCAGGAGCAAUGCUAUACAGAAUGCCAUAAAGUUGAGUAAGGAAUUCUCUAAGUCCACCACUGUGGUUUUGCCCGAAGCACUGCAGAUGUGGAACGAAAGUCCAUAUUCGGAAUGUCUAAGUGGAAUAAAACAAAGCAAACCUUGCCAGCAGCCAGAGAAAGUUGAUAUAUCAUGUUCUGGGAAAUGUCUUUAAGAAUGCUUGCUGAAUUCUCAUCAAAAUCGACAGAAGCUAAAGAGGAAAAAGUAUUUUUAAAGUACUUAUAAAACAAACAAAAAAAACCUCUCUAACUAGCUUCCCAUGAACAUAAAAGUCUAAUUUUUAAACCCUUUGUCAAAAAUCAUUGUUAAAAAGGUGGAAAGUCAGUACACAGAUUGGAAAGUUAUAUUUACAUUGACAUAUUUCUGAAAAAGAUUCA